UCUUUCUGGCUUCUGCCUCCUGACCUCGCUCCUUUCUGUAUUUGUUUCGUUUAGUCAUCAGCUGCACUCCAUCGCGAUGAGGAACACGGUGCGUGCUUCGUCCGGUCCCUUGUCCCGAGAGUGGGACAUUGAUGCAGGCCUGCGAGACACAGUGACGAUCGCUCCCCCGCUGGACACCCCCCCAAUCACAGAUCCUCAAUGAUUUAAUGUUCCAGCAUCCGAACCAACUCACCGAGCGCCUUGGUUUCGGGAGUGCAACUCGCCAAACCUGACCUCAGGCGUCAAGAGGUGAUUUCUGACCACCGCAUGUUUACGAGCAUCGCUUCACGUCGUGGUGUGAAUUUGCCUAGUCGGUCAAAUAUAUAAAUACACCAGGAAAACUGGUCGCGGUUCGGACUGUUGUGCUUACACUU